AUACUUACCUGGCAGGGGAGACACCAUGAUCACGAAGGUGGUUUUCCCAGGGCGAGGCUUAUCCAUUGCACUCCGGAUGUGCUGACCCCUGCGAUUUCCCCAAAUGUGGGAAACUCGACUGCAUAAUUUGUGGUAGUGGGGGACUGCGUUCGCGCUUUCCCCUA
rnacentral:snRNA from 1 species